UUAUCACCCUCUUCGCUUGACAAAUUAGACGAAAAUGCAAAUACUACAAUUGGUAGAGAUUAAACUAUGGUUUAACUCAUAGUGGCAUUAAUAAUGCACGGCGGUGUAAAACUCACGUAACGUAUGGUAUUCAAGAUAUUAACAUUCCAUAACUCCCUUCUCUCUGCAACUGUUCCCGCAGCCUCUUCUUGCGGAUCACUCGUAUGUUUCCUGAUUCGACCUCUGGAUGGCUCCGCAGCGUCAAUGAGUAACGACUGAUCUUCCUGACGAGUUCUAAUCAUUGGAAUUUGAGUGACUUCUUCCUCGCGUUUGCCUUCAUGAGAAUCGCUCGAAUUCGUCUCGUCGUCCAAGUCGUCGAAGUAAAGAUACGUGUAGCUGUUAAAAAUCAGUAUUGGAAGUGUGAUUGAAUGGAUUCAAGACGCUUUAGAAAAAUGAAUUUUUCAAAGUACAUAUAAUUAAUGAAAAAAAACGAUAGAUUUAGAUAUAAACAAUUUAUAUAAGGACGUAUUUAGAGUUAAGCACAAUUGUUUUAUACCUGCGAGGAUUAUUCGUGGCACUUUGGUAACCAUAGUAAAUUGAACGAGAAUGAGCUGCGGGGUCCAACAAGUGUUGUUCUUCUCCGUUGAAUUUUGUGCGAGAACUUGAAUAAAUUUGUUUCUCAGUGGUCGCUACAUGAUUCAACUGUUUCUUCAAAGCUAGUGCUCGAGUGUAUAUUAGAGGUGGCAAAAUAAAGACCAAUGACCCAGUUAAUGAUCCACCAAUUAGAGCCAUGACGAUGUCGAAUCGCGAUAUCGAUUCACCCACUACCACACUGAGGAAAACCACCGCCGAUCUCAUAGCGCAACGUUUCCAUCCGAAAGCUGUGAUUCAACAAUGUUGAAAGAGUGCUGAGUAGCCGAUCACGCUGGAGAAGCAGAGCUGAAGAGCGGCUAGCAGAAUGGCGAUAUUCGCAACCGAUCCGGAUGGUACAGCUUCAAGGAUAUUAGCAGUCGUAUUGCCACCGUACUUCCAUACGACUAGGCAAGCGGUAACGGUGAAUAAUGAUCCGCUUGCUAAAAUGAAACAAAUUAAAUUGACAGUUAAAAUAAAUUUAGUUAAGAAAUUGAAUCAAAUUUAAUUAAGGAGUAAAAUACAAAACAUAAUUUAUUUUCGCUGUUUCUUACUCAUGAAUGAGAAGAAGAUGGCUUUAUCGAUAUCUCGAGGACGAUGCAUAUCAACCUGUAUCGUCAUUAAAGUAGGAUGCACGUCGAAUUGAAACGCCAGCAUACCGUAUCUGAUAAUUCAUUCUAUAUUUAGUUACUUAGUUAAUUGAUAUUUAUGAUAUUGAUAAUUAAUGAAUCUGAUUAUGAAUUUGAUUUGUCAAAUUUAUACUUAAAUAAUAUAAAUAAUACUUAAAAAAUGCUUAAAAAGUAAUUAUUAAUUAAUUUGAUUUGAUAAAUUUACAACACGCAAUUUUCACAUAUCUAAUAAAUAUCACAUGACUUUACGUGACUAUAACUAUGCUUGUGAAAAAACGCUCAUGCGUAUUUGUGUGACAUAGGAUUUGUUCAUACCCAGAAAUAAAUUUAUCCCACAUUGGUGAA